CCCCUUGUUGUCUGCGUGCAAGACGCCCGCCAUUUUGGAGGCAGCAGUUGGGCUUCUCAGCCUCAGUCGCGGAGUCACAUUCAGGGCCACAGGGUGAGGACCGGGAUCACCCCCCCGGUCCAUAGGGGGGGGGAACGGAGCCGGAUCCGCGCCGGUCUGUACCGUUGGUCUGGUUCUGUGGUGCAGGAUAGUGAGGCAGCGGCCGUCUGCCUCACUCACCGCCGGAGAAGGCCCGGGUUGGGGCAACAUGUUUUUCUCCCCCAGGGGACUGAAGCUCAGUGAGCCAGCCUCUCCCCGGGUCCAGCAGUCCCUCGG